UUGGAGCAUCUUCUUAUACUCAGAGGAAAUGUUAUUGAAAGUUGCAGCUAGUGAGAAAUUGAGGAACAGAUGCUUGAUAGUUGGUGUGCAGUUUUUGCCUGUAGUCGUAAUUGGCAGGGGCAGUUCCACGGCGUUUCAGAGGCCGAGGUGGAAAAGGAGGAAAUAGAAGGGGCUGGAGACUGACGGUCACAGCAUAGAGGCAGCCACCAAGGAUGAACUGGAGCAAAAAAGCAGAACUGUCUACAAGGCACAUAUCCCUGAAAGAGUAUUAUGCAGAGAAGCCCCAACAGCAGCGGCUGUGGCUGAGCGAAUCCUGCUUGGAAGCUGGAGAGACCCCGGGGAUCGAGCCCGGGAGCGCUAGAAGCGAAGGGUGCUGGCCACCACCCGGCCGCCCUUCCUGCCUUUGCCCCAAGAGGGCCGCCACUGCCGAAGAGGCCGCCAGCAGCGCGCAUCCCGGUCACCAGCGCCGAACCCGGGUGUCCAGGGCCCGCGGCGGAGCCCAGCUGGAGCGGGUGGGACGGGGGCCAGCACCCCGAGGUCGGCGGCCGCGCCAAGCUGCCAAGGUAACGAGGGAUAGCUGGGGAGGCGGGGGUGGCGGUGACGGAGGGAGGGAACCCGGCGAACGCCGCCUCCCCGCAGCCGCUUCCCGGAAUCCCCUUCCAGGCCCCUGUCCCUCCCCCGAGACUCCUCCAGCUCCUGCCUGUGCUCGGUGCCCGGGGGCUUUGGCUCGCCCGUCGCUGCCCUCCUGCAGGGGGUUGUCCCCACCCCCACCCCCCACCGCGCCCCCGCGGCCGGGCGGGUCAUUAGAGGGUGUCGGCUUGCUGUCCCCCCUCGGCCACGCUGCCCUCUGCCCUGCGGGGACUUCCUCCGUUCACCCCUCCCGGGAGUCUUCACAGAACCCAGCCCCUCACCCCCACCUCUGGCCGGAUACUGGCGGUUGCAACAUGAGAGCCUUUGUGAAGUUCGAAAGUCAGAUUCCUCCCGAGGCACUCUGCCUCGCAAAACUGAGUGAUCGGCUCGGGUCUCCGGUUCGGGGUCUGCCGCCCGCCCUUCACGAGAACACUUGA
rnacentral:lncRNA from 1 species